UGGUACAUGUAAUAACAGAAGAAAAUCGAAAACCAGAAGAUAAGCAAAAGAGUGAGGCAUUGCAGAACCUGCAGGAAGGUUCAUUUGUGUCUGAUUCUUCUCUCUAUAGUAUUCAUACUAGAACAUAUAGUGAUUGCUUUGCGGAGGCUUUGGUCAUGGAGGCAGAGAAGGACAAAGAUAUUGUGACUGUUCAUGCAGGAAUGGAAAUGGAAAAAGCUUUUCAACUAAUUCUGGAGAGAUUUCCAGAUAGGUUUUUUGAUGUGGGAAUGGCUGAGCAGCAUGCGGUUACAUUUUCUGCUGGUUUAUCUUGUGGGGGGUUGAAGCCAUUUUGCAUAAU
rnacentral:misc_RNA from 1 species